GGGGAGAAAAACAUGGGGAGGAGCCCAACAACAGAGGGAGCCAAGUUGGGGGCGGCUCCAGGAGGGAUCAAAAGGCCCCUGGGAAUUGACUAGCUCGAUCCUUUCAUUUUCACCAGGGAGGAAGCUCAGAGAGGUCAAGGUCACGGGGAUCUAAGGCUCAAAGAGGGAGGGCGUGCAGAGAGGACCACGGGCCUCAAGCCCAACCUCCACAUGUCACAGGGAAGGUGCAGCCAGAGGAUGCAUUGCUUUGGAUCACCUUCUUGACAUUCAAAAGUCAAGAGCAGAAUUUUCUCGAGAUGCAGAGAUAUAGAUUUAGAAACAGCAACGCAAGGCUACAGUCUCUCUGGGGAGGACUUGGGAGCUGCAGGGCGGCCCUGGCUGCUGGGGAUCGGGCGGCCAAGAGACCAGGUGCAGAAUGAACCGGAGCGGUGUCCUCAGAUGUGGCCGCACCUCUGAACCACCGAUGUGUGUGUGUGUUUAGUUGCUCGGACUAAACAGUCGUGUCCGCCUCUUUUGCAAUCCUGUGGUCUGUAGCCCGCCAGGCUCCUCUGUCCAUGGGAUUUCCCAGGAUGUUCGACCAUCUCAGGGGUGGGCGCACCCCGCCUCUCCCUCCCCCGGGAACCUUGCAGACAAUGUCAUUACAUCAGCAGUGAUCACUUCUAGCAACUGAACUUGCAUGAAGCCCUUCGGUACUAGCAGCAAACAGCGGGUGUGUUCUGUGUGUGGAGCAGCUGUGUGAGUGAUUUCGGGUACAGAGCCACUGGAAGACCUGGUUCAAAUCCUGCCUGCUGGUCAUGUGACCAAGAGGAGUUCACUUUGCGUGUCUUUGCGUCUGGGGACCCAGGAUGCUCACCAUCGCGGGGCGCUGGGCUGCUGUGAGGUGCUCCUACUGCUGGUGCUGCUCAGUCGUGUCUGACUCAUUGCGGCCCAGUGGACUGUAAGCCACCAGGCUCCUCUGUCCGUGGGAUUUUCCAGGCAAGAAUAUUGGAGUGGGGAGCCAUUUCCUACACCAGGGGAAUCUUCCCUCCCCAGGCGAUCGAACCCGAGUCUCCUGCAUCUCCCUGCAUUGGCAGGUGGAUUCUUUAUCACUAGUGCCACCCGGGAAGACCAAAGUGAAGAUGUCUAGACCUUAAACACCGAGUCUUGGAGCUAGGUGAGCCCUCAGGGAUCUGCUGCUCCUGAUGCGAAGACGAGUAACACGCUCCAUGGAGAUCCUCAUCUCUCUGCCAGCCCAGUGGAAACAGAGACCCUGCUGCAGGCUAUAUGACCAGCCCACACUAGUUAGUAACAGAAGCCUCUCUGGAACUUGAGUCUGGGCCACUGCAAAGCAAGGUCAGUUAUGAGGCUCUGC